UGGGGAAUAUUGGACAAUGGGCGCAAGCCUGAUCCAGCCAUGCCGCGUGAGUGAUGAAGGCCCUAGGGUUGUAAAGCUCUUUCACCGGUGAAGAUAAUGACGGUAACCGGAGAAGAAGCCCCGGCUAACUUCGUGCCAGCAGCCGCGGUAAUACGAAGGGGGCUAGCGUUGUUCGGAUUUACUGGGCGUAAAGCGCACGUAGGCGGACUAUUAAGUCAGGGGUGAAAUCCCGGGGCUCAACCCCGGAACUGCCUUUGAUACUGGUAGUCUUGAGUUCGAGAGAGAUGAGUUGUAUUCCGAGUGUAGAGGUGAAACACGUAGACAUUCGGAGGAACACCAGUGGCGAAGGCGGCUCACUGGCCCGAUACUGACGCAGAGGUGCGAAAGAGUGGGGAGCAAACAGG
rnacentral:rRNA from 1 species